rnacentral:rRNA from 1 species
CCUACGGGAGGCAGCAGUGAGGAAUAUUGGUCAAUGGGAGAGAUCCUGAACCAGCCAAGCCGCGUGAAGGAAGACGGCCCUAUGGGUUGUAAACCUCUUUUGUCGGGGAACAAAACCCGGGACGUGUCCCGUACUGCGUGUAUCCGAAGAAAAAGCAUCGGCUAACUCCGUGCCAGCAGCCGCGGUAAUACGGAGGAUGCGAGCGUUAUCCGGAUUUAUUGGGUUUAAAGGGUGCGUAGAUGGUCUGUUAAGUCAGCUGUAAAAGUGUGCGGCUCAACCGCAACAUUCCAAUUGAUCCUGGCAGUCUUGAGUUCAGUUGAGGUAGGCUGUAUUCGUGGUGUAGCGGUGAUCUGCUUAGAUGUCACGUAGAACUCCGAGUG